CCUACGGGUGGCAGCAGUGGGGAAUAUUGGACAAUGGGGGGAACCCUGAUCCAGCCAUGCCGCGUGUGUGAAGAAGGCCCUCGGGUUGUAAAGCACUUUCAGUGAGGAAGAACGCCUGGUGGUUAAUACCCAUCAGGAAAGACAUCACUCACAGAAGAAGCACCGGCUAACUCCGUACCAGCAGCCGCGGUAAUACGGAGGGUGCGAGCGUUAAUCGGAAUUACUGGGCGUAAAGCGCGCGUAGGUGGCUUGAUAAGCCGGUUGUGAAAGCCCCGGGCUCAACCUGGGAACGGCAUCCGGAACUGUCAAGCUAGAGUGCAGGAGAGGAAGGUAGAAUUCCCGGUGUAGCGGUGAAAUGCGUAGAGAUCGGGAGGAAUACCAGUGGCGAAGGCGGCCUUCUGGACUGACACUGACACUGAGGUGCGAAAGCGUGGGUAGCAAACAGGAUUAGAUACCCGUGUAGUC
rnacentral:rRNA from 1 species